CCUCAAACGCAUUAAUCCAGUUUGUUAUUGCCUGGAUUUACCAGCUACUAUGAAGAUACCCAAUUCCUUUCAUGUUUCUCUCUUUAAACCUUUAAUUUGUAAUCGUUAUACUCGAAUACCCAUGAGACCACCUUCAACACUCGUAGAAGGCCAAAACGAAUACGAAGUGAAAUCUAUUUUGGACUCUCGUAUUUCUAGGAGUCGUCUCCAAUAUCUUUUAGACUGGAAAGGGUAUGGCCCCGAGGAACGUUCGUGGGUAGAUGCCUCCGAUGUACACGCUCCUCGCCUGGUUCGUUCGUUUGUUAGGCGUUGUUCUCGCAGGCCGAGUCCUCCCCGCCCUGGGGGCGGUUCUCGAGGGGGGGUACUGUGACGAUACCUUACCGUUUCUCUCCGGACCCGCGCAGCGUGUAUUUCUCCCUGGCUGCUUCUGGGAGGCGGCGGAGCCUGUCUGGCGCUGGCCGCUCGCGGCACGCCUCCUCUUCUGACGCGGUGCAUGCGCUCCGACCUCAACAGGAUUUUGCAGCGAAAAAUCAAAUGUGGCCACACUCCCGAACCUUUUGGGGGCGUGGCUUUAAAGCAAGUGAUACCUCACUAUAAAAGGGCGUCCCUGUCCUUCCCUCAGCGACCUAGUGUGGUUCUUGUUCAUUCCUUCUAGUGCUCUUUAUAAUUUUGUCUGUUUUCUGGUAUAUUGACCCUUGGCUUUCCUUACUGACUAUUCUCCUCUCUGGCUCCCCUAAUUUUGGCUUGGUUAUUCCUUCUGUAUUCCGUUUUCUGUAAUCCCUUGACCUCUGGCUUGUGGGGAUAUUUAUGGGAUGAUAAUAUUAAACAGUCGAGAAUGGCC